rnacentral:rRNA from 1 species
GAUGAACGCUGACAGAAUGCUUAACACAUGCAAGUCAACUUGAACUUCGGUUUGGGUGGCGGACGGGUGAGUAACGCGUAAAGAACUUGCCUCACAGCUAGGGACAACAUUUGGAAACGAAUGCUAAUACCUGAUAUUAUGAUUAUAUGGCAUCGUAUAAUUAUGAAAGCUAUAUGCGCUGUGAGAGAGCUUUGCGUCCCAUUAGCUAGAUGGAGAGGUAACAGCUCACCAAGGCGAUGAUGGGUAGCCGGCCUGAGAGGGUGAUCGGCCACAAGGGGACUGGGACACGGCCCUUACUCCUACGGGAGGCAGCAGUGGGGAAUAUUGGACAAUGGACCGAGAGUCUGAUCCAGCAAUUCUGUGUGCACGAUGAAGUUUUUCGGAAUGUAAAGUGCUUUCAGUUGGGAAGAAAAAAAUGACGGUACCAACAGAAGAAGUGACGGCUAAAUACGUG